AUACGGAGGGUGCAAGCGUUAAUCGGAAUUACUGGGCGUAAAGCGUACGUAGGCGGUUUAUUAAGUCAGAUGUGAAAGCCCCGGGCUUAACCCGGGAACUGCAUUUGAAACUAGUAGACUAGAGUAUGGUAGAGGGGGGUAGAAUUCCUAGUGUAGCGGUGAAAUGCGUAGAUAUUAGGAGGAAUACCAGUGGCGAAGGCGGCCCCCUGGACCAAUACUGACGCUGAGGUACGAAAGCGUGGGGAGCGAACAGGAUUAGAUACCCCCGGUAGUCC
rnacentral:rRNA from 1 species